rnacentral:lncRNA from 1 species
AUGGAUGAGGAAUCAGGUGAAGUUGCUAAAGCCUCAGUCGACAUAGAGCUGCUACAAAGAAGCCAGCCAAUCCCUUGGACACCUUUCAGAGACAUGGAUGUGAGGAUAGCUGGCGGUAUCAUGGGUGGGAUGCUGCUGCUGUUAGUGACUACCCUGUUCCUGCUGAUCCGAUGGGCCAAGAGGAGGAGGAGGAGACAGAGACAAAACCCGGCCGGACGAGGGGCUGUCGCCCUGGGGAAGCACCUCAAAGUGGUGAACUCGGGCCGGCUCAUGAUCCCCUUGGUCGAGGAGGUCUCCUACCAGAACGAAGGGUUCAGCAUAGACUACGAGGCCUCGGGAGGUUCCGGAAGCCUCUUUGGGAGACAUGGGGUCUACACCAGGAAACAGUCGCUGAUCCCGCCGCCGCCACGCUGCCACAGCAGCCAUCUAGACUGCGGCUCCGGUACCGUAACAGGCGACAUGCUGCCUAUACUGGCGACGCCAGAGCCCCUGGUUAAAGACCUCACUGCCGCCCUCAUCUCCAACAGCAGGAAAGGUGACAACACCAUCAGCACAGGGGCUGUGACAAAAGACGAGAAGGAGAGGAAUAAGCAGAGGGAUAUGGAGAAAGAGGAGGAGAGGAAUAAGCAGAGGGAUAUGGAGAAAGAGGAGGAGAGGAAUAAGCAGAGGGAUAUGGAGAAAGAGGAGGAGAGGAAUAAGCAGAGGGAUAUGGAGAAAGAGGAGGAGAGGGAUAAGCAGAGGGAUAUGGAGAAAGAGGAGGAGAGGGAAUGGGAGAAGCAGUGGGAGCGCGCUGUUGGCACAAAAGAGAAGAGAAAUUCUGAGGGGGAAAGGACGGAUAAGUCGAGAGAUGUUUUGGGUGCUUCUAGUGAGACCGCAGACGUAAGCGAGGCCCCUGAGGACCAAACAAACACAGAAAAGCCUCAGAGCCACAGGAUGAAAACACACCACAUCAGAGAACCCAAAGACGGGCACAAAAGCUCUUCUGAAGAGUAG